GGGCAUGUAGCUCAGUUGGAUAGAGCGUCAGAUUCCGGUUCUGAGAGUCGUGGGUUCGAAUCCCUCCAUGCUCG
rnacentral:tRNA from 1 species